AUUGAACGCUGGCGGCAUGCCUUACACAUGCAAGUCGAACGGCAGCAUGGAGAGCUUGCUCUCUGAUGGCGAGUGGCGAACGGGUGAGUAAAGCAUCGGAACGUACCGUGUAGUGGGGGAUAACGUAGCGAAAGUUACGCUAAUACCGCAUACGCACUGAGGUGGAAAGCAGGGGAUCGUAAGACCUUGCGCUAUACGAGCGGCCGAUGUCAGAUUAGCUAGUUGGUAGGGUAAAGGCCUACCAAGGCGACGAUCUGUAGCGGGUCUGAGAGGAUGAUCCGCCACACUGGGACUGAGACACGGCCCAGACUCCUACGGGAGGCAGCAGUGGGGAAUUUUGGACAAUGGGGGCAACCCGGAUCCAGCCAUGCCGCGUGAGUGAAGAAGGCCUUCGGGUUGUAAAGCUCUUUCGGCCGGGAAGAAAUCGCACAGGCUAAUACCCUGUGUGGAUGACGGUACCGGCAUAAGAAGCACCGGCUAACUACGUGCCAGCCGCCGCCGUAA
rnacentral:rRNA from 1 species